CCUACGGGAGGCAGCAGUGGGGAAUAUUGGGCAAUGGGCGAAAGCCUGACCCAGCAACGCCGCGUGAAGGAAGAAGGCUUUCGGGUUGUAAACUUCUUUUGACAGGGAAGAGCAGAAGACGGUACCUGUCGAAUAAGCCACGGCUAACUAAGUGCCAGCAGCCGCGGUAAUACGUAGGUGGCAAGCGUUGUCCGGGUUUACUGGUUGUAAGGGGCGUGUAGUCGGUCUGACAAGUCAGAUGUGAAAGCCGGGGGCUCAACCACCGAACUGCAUUUGAAACUGUUGGUCUUGAGUAUCGGAGAGGCAGGCGGAAUUCAUAGUGUAGCGGUGAAAUGCGUAGAGAUUAGGAGGAACACCAGUGGCGAAGGCGGCCUGCUGGGCGACAACUGACGGUGAGGCGCGAAAGCGUGGGGAGCAAACAGGAUUAGAUACCCCUGUAGUC
rnacentral:rRNA from 1 species